AGAGUUUGAUCAUGGCUCAGAACGAACGCUGGCGGCGUGCUUAACACAUGCAAGUCGAGUGCGCGUCCGUAGCAAUACGGAUGGCGCACGGCGCACGGGUGCGUAACACGUGGGCAAUCUGCCCUUCGAUGGGGAAUAACUCCGGGAAACCGAAGCUAAUUCCGCAUAACAUUCCUUGGACUUCGGUUCGAGGACUCAAAGCCGUAAGGCGUCGAAGGAGGAGCCCGCGCCCGAUUAGCUAGUUGGUGAGGUAACGGCUCACAAAGGCAAUGAUCGGUAGCUGGUCUGAGAGGAUGGCCAGCCACACUGGAACUGAGACACGGUCCAGACUCCUACGGGAGGCAGCAGUGGGGAAUCUUGCACAAUGGGCGAAAGCCUGAUGCAGCGACGCCGCGUGGGGGAUGAAGCAUCUCGGUGUGUAAACCCCUUUCGACCCGGAAGAAUGCCUCGCAAGAGGACUGACGGUACGGGUAUAAGAAGCCCCGGCUAACUACGUGCCAGCAGCCGCGGUAAGACGUAGGGGGCCAGCGUUGUUCGGAAUUACUGGGUGUAAAGGGUUCGUAGGCGGUGUGGCAAGUCGGGAGUGAAAUCUCUGGGCUCAACCCAGAGGCUGCUUCCGAAACUGCCGUGCUUGAGUGUGGGAGAGGCGCGUGGAAUUGCAGGUGUAGCGGUGAAAUGCGUAGAUAUCUGCAGGAACACCCGUGGCGAAAGCGGCGCGCUGGACCACUACUGACGCUGAGGAACGAAAGCUAGGGGAGCAAACAGGAUUAGAUACCCUGGUAGUCCUAGCCCUAAACGAUCAGGACUUGGGGUGCCACCCGUUCGGGUGUCGUCCCGGAGCUAACGCGUUAAGUCCUGCACCUGGGGAGUACGGUCGCAAGACUGAAACUCAAAGGAAUUGACGGGGCCCGCACAAGCGGUGGAACAUGUGGUUUCAAUUCGACGCUACGCGAGGAACCUUACCUGGG
rnacentral:rRNA from 1 species